CUAAAACAGAAAGACCUGUGAACUGUGUACUCAUUAUUUGGGGAGUUGGGGUGCUUGUCGCCCUUGGCUCCCCCGUGUCGGUGAGAGUGCUUGCAGAAUCAUGCUGCUCGUCCAUCAUUGAUGCAACAACUAACCCCGGCGCACUGCGCCAAGGAAUUUUGGAAAACAAGCGUGCCCCUUGAUAGCCCGGAGACGGUGUGGGUUGGGGGGUGUUGCGGCAUACAUAUACAUAAUGACUCUCGGCAACGGAUAUCUCGGCUCUCGCAUCGAUGAAGAACGUAGCGAAAUGCGAUACUUGGUGUGAAUUGCAGAAUCCCGUGAACCAUCGAGUCUUUGAACGCAAGUUGCGCCCGAAGCCAUUAGGCCGAGGGCACGUCUGCCUGGGUGUCACACAAUGUUGCCCCUCCACCCUUGACCCUCUCAUGAGGGCAUAGUGGGAUGGGCGGAUUAUGGCCUCCCGUGAGCCUUGUCUUGUGGUUGGUCGAAAAAAGAGCCUUUGGUGGCGAUCGCCACUCUCCUCGGUGGAUGAGCAUGCCUCGAUGCCGGUUGUGCGCGUGUCGUUUCAUUGAUUGGGCUCCUAGACCCUACUGUGUUGCUUUGUGCGACUGAGAAACCAACGCGACCCCAGGUCAGGCGGGGCUACCCGCUGAGUUUAAGCAUAUCAAUAAGGCCGGAGGAA
rnacentral:rRNA from 1 species